GGCUCGUUGGUUAAGGGAUAUGAUUCUCGCUUAGGGUGCGAGAGGAUCCGGGCACAACUCCUGGACGAGCCC